CUCGGAGGGUGCCGGGAGGCUUCCAGGGAAUUCUGAAGUUUGGCCGAGUCAGCGUCCCAGCCCCAGACCAGGCGGAUCCCCAUCAGCCCCUAGUUUCUCAGCUGGGGAAACUGAGGAAUGCCACAAUGGCUGGGCGGGUUUCCGUUGUGCUUCCAAGGGCGGCCCUGCGUGGCGGCCAAGCUCCCCGACCUCUCCGAGCUCCGCGGCCCUCAUGUGUCAAGUGGGGUGAUGGGGGACGGGGUUGAGCCGUCCCGGGGACCCCAGGGGCCGGGGUGUGUCAGCGCUCGGCCCAGGCCUGGCUCAUGAGGGCUCGGCCCCACAUCUGACGGCGGGGCGUCCCGGGGUGGGCCUCCGUCCCCUGACCCCAGUCCUGUCCGCGGUCACGGCCACGCUGAGUCACCGCCGGUUCCCAGGCCGGGCGCUGCGGCUGGAAAAAGUCCCAGGGAGCCGCCCCCACUCCCCUUAAACGCACAUUUGUUCCAGAUCCAUGAAUAUGCGAUUGUCGCCCACCUCCUCCGGGGGACCGCGAGCUUCCUCCACUUGUGCAGCGAAACUCUACAUUAAUCACGGCUAAUUGCUAGCGGGACUCGUUUAUGUCAAGAGCCGUUAUUCCCGGGAAUAAAGGGGAAUAAAGGAUGGCUCCUUUCAGGAAGUGCCGCGUCGCCCGGGAAGGAGCAAUGCCAGACCCGGACCAGGCCCCCGGCCCCCGCCCGGCCCACUUCCCGCGGCCCCAACUGCCUGUGACAAAACGUGGGGGCCUCUGGCCUUUGCUGAAUCUUCAGGGAAAUGAGCACAUCCAUCAUGUUCACGCGUUUUUCUGAAGUUGUUGUGAGUUUCCUUGAAACCAAGGAGCAGUUUUUUUUUUUUUUUUUUUUUUUUGUCUUUUUUUUCCCCCUUUUUUUGGCAACAACAGCUGGGAAUACAGUGACACUUUCUAAAAACUGCCACUUAUUGCCUGGGGACGGGGCAGGGGAGGAGCCCAGCCUGCCAAGCCCCAGGCCCAGACUGUGCGCAUGGCCGGAUGGGAUCCUUCCUGGCUUCUCCAGAGGGUGUCUGACUGACGCGUGUUAAUCCUGCCCGAGGCCACACCUGUGGGCACUGGGUGUGCAGAGCUGCAAGAGCUGCGUGCACAU
rnacentral:lncRNA from 12 species